GUGCUCACUUCAGCACAUAUACUGAAAUUGGAACAGUACAGAGAUCAGCAUGGCCCUUGCUCAAGGAUGACACAUGAAUUUGUGAAACAUUCCAUUAAAAA
rnacentral:snRNA from 1 species